UACAGAGGGGGCCAGCGUUAUUCGGAAUUAUUGGGCGUAAAGGGCGCGUAGGCGGCCAUGCGUGUCUUCCGUGAAAUCCCUCGGCUUAACCGAGGACGUGCGGAAGAAACUGCAAGGCUCGAGUCCGGAAGAGGGGGGCGGAAUUCCCAGUGUAGCGGUGAAAUGCGUAGAUAUUGGGAGGAACACCAGUGGCGAAGGCGGCUACCUGGACCGGUUCUGACGCUGAGGCGCGAAAGCGUGGGUAGCAAACAGG
rnacentral:rRNA from 1 species